rnacentral:sRNA from 1 species
UUAUACCCUGUACCAUAGUAAAAUGUGGAGCUGAAAAUGUGCAAAUGAAAAAUGAGUAGUUGUACAUACAACAUGUGAAUAGUGGCCAUCCUAAACGACUGCUAAUUACACCAGAAGAAAAGAAAAUACCAAAUGAAUAUAUGUGUGGAUAUCACUCGUCGAUGGAAACGUGUUCAGCAAGAUGAUGGCCAUAUUAGUAGCAAGAACGCAGGCGACUCUAAAUAAAUUGGCCGAGUACAUGUAUUUGAUUUUCUUUUAAAGAAAAAAAAAUAAGUUGUUGAAUUUAUUUUGUAUAUUUUUCGUUUUGCAAAAGAAAAUAAUACUAAAUCAAUAUAUUGACUGGGCGAUUUAGAAUAUAUACAUUUUGAGUAGUUUACGGAUUAAUUUUACAUUUUGCAAGUAUUUUCCCGUGUUGAUGAAAUAUUUCUUCCAUAAUAGAUUAAUUGCAUGACGAAUUACUACUAUUAUUUAUCAUAUAAAAUUGUCUGUACUUUUGUGCUCAGAUUUGACCUUCAACUGACGUCUUAUUGUUCGGGUUCGGACACCAAAAGGUACAGGAACCAAAUAGGUCAAAGGGUGAAAAGACGCGUUAUAAGUGCUAUCUAAUACUAAGUGUACGUAGUAAUGACAUUGAAGAGUCUCGCUAGUAGUUCUAGAUAGCGAAAACAUAGCCCUGGGGUAGAGAGAUACUCUGACGUACUGUUUCAAAUAACCAUUGUGUCUCUUGGGGGAGAGAGACUACAGGUGCGGCCAUUUAAAUUAAGGUGUGCAAUCUACCGCGAACAUACGACAGCAGAUGAAAUACCUUCGGGGUUUCGGGGUAGAUUUCUACAUAUUCGGUCGUGACGUCUUAAUAGUCUGUAAUUUUGCUUUUACGCAAAAUAACAAAAUGUCAAAAUAUUGAGGUAGAGUUCUCUCGGGUUCAGGUAAUCAAGUUGCUCAGUGAAUUGUAAAUCAUUCAAAAAUAAAAAUUUGCAAUUGAGACAUGCAGAAUUUAUACUCAAAACAGGUAAUAAAUCCUCAUUCAUAGAUUGAAA